GUGGGGAAUAUUCCGCAAUGGACGAAAGUCUGACGGAGCAACGCCGCGUGAGUGAUGAAGGUUUUCGGACUGUAAAGCUCUGUUGUUUGGGACGAAAGUGCCUGUUGCGAACAGUUACGGGUAUUGACGGUACUAAACGAGGAAGCCACGGCUAACUACGUGCCAGCAGCCGCGGUAAUACGUAGGUGGCAAGCGUUGUCCGGAAUUAUUGGGCGGAAAGAGCAUGUAGGCGGGAAUCUAAGUCUGUUGUUAAAAUGCGGGGCUCAACCCCGUAUUGCGAUGGAAACUGGGUUUCUUGAGUGCAGGAGAGGAAAGGGGAAUUCCCAGUGUAGCGGUGAAAUGCGUAGAUAUUGGGAGGAACACCAGUGGCGAAGGCGCCUUUCUGGACUGUGUCUGACGCUGAGAUGCGAAAGCCAGGGUAGCGAACGGGAUUAGAUACCCGGGUAGUCC
rnacentral:rRNA from 1 species